UUGCUUCUGGGCCUUUUGGCUAAGAUCAAGUGUAGU
rnacentral:snRNA from 1 species